rnacentral:rRNA from 1 species
UUCUACGGCCAUGCUACACUGAACAAGCCCUCUCUCGUUUGAUCUCGGAAGCUAAGCAGGGCGGGUCCCGGUUAGUACUUGGAUGGGAGACCACCUAGGAAGACCAGGUGCUGUAGGUG